AUUUUACAGAUUCGAUUUUUUCUUUUUUUUUCCUUUCUCUCUCUCUCUCUCUCUCUCAGCUGCGAUAAAAACCGACUCGAAGAAUUUGGGAUCAGAAAAAGAAUUUGGGAUCAGAUCCUUGAAGCUUUUGACUCAAAGGACCUGGAAUCAGAGGAAAGGUUUGGAUAGAGAGAAGAGGAUGCAGGAGAUCUCUCUCCUUCGAACGAUCCCUUACUCUGACCACAACAGGUGGUGGUCUUGUGAAAAUGUAGCAGUGGUGACCGGUUGGAAUUGGACUUGAGAUUGUAAGGCAGCUUGCAUGUCAUGGAUUGACUGUUGUUCUUACAGCCAGAAACGUGGAUGCUGGCCAUAAAGCAGUUAAAUCCUUGAGGGACCAAGAAAAAAGUCUCAAGAUUGAUUUUCAUCAGCUUGAUGUCACGGAUGCUUGUUUAAUCUUAGCUGAUUGGUAAAGUUAUUGUUCUGAAUGUGAUCAACCCCUAAGUUUGAUUUCUCUCUCUCUCUUUCGAUUGUCCUUUUGAAAAUGUUUUGACUUUAGUACUCUCUGUUCCAUUCAAAUGUUGCCAUGAAACUUUGGUGAUAUGCUGGCUUGUAGUUGUUCUCUGGUCACAUUUGCUUUGAUCAGAGCUUUUCCUCUGUUUGCAUUUUCUAGAUUUGUUUUCCUCUGUAGUUGUUCCUUCUUUUUUGCUGGUAAUUCUUCUCAUUAUCUAGAAUCGCUUCAAUUCAAUUGUGUUGCCAUGAAGCUUUUGGGAAUACAAGAGGUUAAAGACAUGACUGCUCUUGAUUUCUGGCCUCGUCUGAUAAGCCACACUUGGUUGAUUUAUAUUUUGUGUGAAGAGAAGAAGUUGAGAGAGACAUGGCUGCUUUGUUUGUGGAUUAUUGAGAAUGCUUAACCAGAAUCAACAACUUUAGUUUUUUUUUUCUUUCUUCUUUUACAAUAUGUUGUAAAUUUCUUGUAAAUGUUAUGUAAUAGAAUACUAAAUUACAUUGAUUUUUUCCUCAUAUAAAUGUAAUCCUUGAUAUUCUAUACCA